rnacentral:snRNA from 1 species
AUGUGGCUGUGGCAUUUGUCACCUCAUUGUUUGCCAUGAUUGAUCCAGGUGAUCUGAUUGACUAGUCAUUUGUCCUCUU